CGCGUAGGCGGGAUGGCAAGUCGGUCGUGAAAGCCUUCGGCUCAACCGAAGAACGUCGGCCGAUACUGCCGUUCUUGAGGGAUGCAGAGGAGACUGGAAUUCCCGGUGUAGCGGUGAAAUGUGUAGAGAUCGGGAGGAACACCGGUGGCGAAGGCGGGUCUCUGGGCAUCUCCUGACGCUGAGGCGCGAAAGCGUGGGAGCAAACG
rnacentral:rRNA from 1 species